UCUGCUUCCAGCGCACACACCAGCCAUCUCAGCAUUGUCACCUUUGUUAAAAGAAAAACCCUUGGAUGCAGAGCAGGCAUGGAGAGCCCCCAAAUAAGCAGGAGAAUAAAUUUGCAAGUGCCUUUGCCCUGGUCUGUCUCCACCAUCUGGAAGUUAAUUAAUUAGAGGGUCUGGAAGGGUUGAACUGUGCUGUCAGGAGAAAGAAACUUCGUUCUGGUGAAAGUGAGCCUGGAAAGGAAAAGGGUGUUGCCCAUAACACACACCCGAACUACUUGAUAACAGAUGAUAUAGGAAAACAUGAUGCUGCCACAGGAGACUGAUUUGAAACUUCUACACCAAAAGACUGUGUUGGUGUUUGCUGUCAAGUUGACUUCAACCUUUGGUGACUCUGUGAAUGAGAAAUACAACAAAAGCCAAAAUCCAGAAAAGAAUGAUAGCUUUAUUGCCCAAACGAAAUGCAUAAAAUACAUCAUGCAAGCUUUUGAAGCUUCAUUGGUUUCGUAAUCACACAAGGAUAUACAAAUCAUACGGUAGAGGAAAAGUGAUAAUAUAUGAUGGAGUCAGCAAAGUUUUGAAAGCUUGCAUUAUGUAUUUUGUGUAUUUUGGUAGCUCAAUAAAGGUCUGUUGUGGAUUUUAGAUUCUCUUGUACUUUUGCUUGCAAG
rnacentral:lncRNA from 11 species